CAAGGAAUGUAGCCCUAGCGGCUGCCCUAUCUCAAUAAUAAGAGCUGCAACCCUUCUCUUCCUCUUCUAGGGCUUUCUUUCCACAACAAGAGCAGUAGCCUCUCCGUCUCCCUCUCCUCUUCUCAAGAGCGAGACCUUGUUGCCCUCUUUCAACCAUAGCAACCGCCGAAACUCACCGGAGCUCCGCCUGAGCUAACCGAGGCUAACAAAAAAGAGAGAAAGGUUUGAUUUACUUGGGUGUUUCAUAUCAAUGAAACACCUCCGUUGUUUUAUCGGUUGAAGAAAUAUUACGAGAUACAGGAAAGGAAAAGAUAUAGAAAGGAAGACGACAAGGAGGUGUUCGAAGGAU